rnacentral:rRNA from 1 species
GUGGGGAAUCUUCCGCAAUGGACGAAAGUCUGACGGAGCAACGCCGCGUGAGUGAAGAAGGUUUUCGGAUCGUAAAGCUCUUUCGUUAGGGACGAACGUGCUCUUUGUGAAUAAUGAGGAGUAAUGACGGUACCUAAAUAAGAAGCCACGGCUAACUACGUGCCAGCAGCCGCGGUAAUACGUAGGUGGCAAGCGUUGUCCGGAAUUAUUUGGCGUAAAGCGCGCGCAGGCGGGAUAUCAAGUCUGUCUUAAAAGUGCGAGGCUCAACCACGUGAGAGGACAGAAACUGGUAUUCUUGAGUGUCGGAGAGGAAAGUUGAAUUCCAAGUGUAGCGGUGAAAUGCGUAGAGAUUUGGAAGAACACCAGUGGCGAAGGCGACUUUCUGGACGAUGUCUGACGCUGAGGCGCGAAAGCUAGGGGAGCGAACGGGAUUAGAAACCCUGGUAGUCC